UCCGUAGGGUGCAAGCGUUACCCGGAAUCAUUGGGCGUAAAGCGUCCGUAGGCUGUUUCGUCCGUUUGUUCUUAAAUCGACAGGCUCAACCUGUCGGCUGGAGCGGAUACGGCGAGACUCGAAGAUGGAAGAGACAAGCGGAACUCCCGGUGUAGCGAUGAAAUGCGUUUAUAUCGGGGGGAACACCAGUGGCGAAGGCGGCUUGUUGGUCCAUUCUUGACGCUGAGGGACGAAAGCGUGGGUAGCGAACAGG
rnacentral:rRNA from 1 species